rnacentral:rRNA from 1 species
AACGAACGCUGGCGGCAUGCCUAACACAUGCAAGUCGAACGAACCCUUCGGGGUUAGUGGCGCACGGGUGCGUAACGCGUGGGAAUCUGCCCUUUGCUUCGGAAUAACUCAGGGAAACUUGUGCUAAUACCGGAUGAUGUCUUCGGACCAAAGAUUUAUCGGCAAGGGAUGAGCCCGCGUAGGAUUAGGUAGUUGGUGGGGUAAAGGCCUACCAAGCCGACGAUCCUUAGCUGGUCUGAGAGGAUGAUCAGCCACACUGGGACUGAGACACGGCCCAGACUCCUACGGGAGGCAGCAGGGGGGAAUAUUGGACAAUGGGCGCAAGCCUGAUCCAGCAAUGCCGCGUGAGUGAUGAAGGCCCUCGGGUCGUAAAGCUCUUUUACCAGGGAUGAUAAUGACAGUACCUGGAGAAUAAGCGCCGGCUAACUCCGUG